UCAAUUCCAAAAGGUAUUCUACCCCCUUGAUUCCAGUCUCACAUCAGGUGGGUAGUGCAAGAAGGCCGAGUCAUGGAUAAACUUCUGAGAUCAAGAUGUAAUAAAGGGAAACCAUCAUACAAAUGAGUUCAAGGAAAGGGCCUUAGCCGAAAAAAUACAUCAAAGGAGGAUCUCCACAACAAGCCUGUGGAUCAUCACUACACAG
rnacentral:lncRNA from 1 species